UUCAGUCUCUCUUUUGGGGCCAGCCAUGCUGUGUGUUUUGACUGUGUGUGUCCCGAGGCAAUGGAAUCCACAAAGGUCAUCCAUCUCUCUGCUGUGAUGGCCUCUGGAUUAUGAUGAUGAAUGGACAUUCCCCAGGCUGCCUCUCCUUCAAGAUACCAAUUGUUACCCUUUAGAUGAUCCCUACCCAGAUGAUGUGUGCCAGCAUGGAGACAGGUCUUCAGCCCACUGAGACCGUGUCAACCAACCAUCACCCAGACACUAGUUCUAUCCCACACAUUAGGGACAAUUUACAGCAGCUAAUUUACCUACUAAC